UACUGUAGGUGCUAGUUUUUGAGAUUAAGCCAUGCAUGUUUAGUUAACUCUCUUGUAGGGGGAACGACAAACAGCUCAGUAAUACUACGAUUAUCUGCUCUGACUGUAUAAAAAUAACCAUGGGAAACUGAGGCUAAUAAGUUAGAAUGAGACGUAGUCCUAUCAGUUAGUUGGCAGUGUAAAGGACUACCAAGACGGUAACGGGUAACGGGAAAUUAGGGUUUUAUUCCGGAGAAGGAGCCUGAGAGACAGCUCCUACGUCCAUGGACGGCAGCAGGCGCGAAAAUUGUUCAAUCUUUAACUGAGGAAACAGUUAUUAAACGUGAUAAAAAGAGAGUAGUAUAAAAAAGUACUCGUAAUGCAACUGGAGGGCAAGAUUUGGUGCCAGCAGCCGCGGUAAUACCGACUCCAGAAGUGCCUAUAAUUAAUGCUGCAAUUAAAGAGUUCGUAGUUGUAUUUACAAUAAAAUGGCUUUGAUCAAAGAAGUUAUCAUUGUUAAUAAUGGCGGAAUGGACAGGGAGCAUAGUAUAGCUAGGCGAGAGAUGAAAUUCCAAGACCCUAGUUGGACUAACAGAAGCGAAGGCGAUGCUCUUGUACAUAUCAGCGAAUCAAGAACGAAGGUUAGGGGAUCAAAAGUGAUUAGAUACCACUGUAGUCCUAACAGUAAACUAUGCCGACUGUUUUUUUCAAUUAUUUAUUAUUACAAUAAAAUUGAAGGGAAUAAGAGAAAUCGUAAGUAUUUGGGCCUUGGGGAAAGUACAUUCGCAAGAAAGAAACUUAAAAAGAAAUUGACGGAAGGACACCACAAAAAGUGGAUUGUACUGUUUAAUUUGACUCAACACGGGAAAAUUUACCAAGCCAAAAUCAUUCGUAGAACGAUUACGGGAGAAUGACAGGAGUAGUGCAUGGCCGUCGGAAAUUGAUGGGGUGACCUUUAGCUUAAAUGCUUUAACCAGUGAGAUCUUUCGGACAGGUAUCAAAGUGAUACAGGAAGGAAAAGGCUAUAACAGGUCAGUGAUGCUCUCAGAUGGUUUGGGCUACAAGUGCAAUACAAUAUCAGCUCAGUUUUUACUUAUUAUAUUUUUAAUAUAAAUUGUAUGGCUGAUAACUAAAGGAUUUUAACUUGUAAUAGUUAAAUGAAUACGGAAUUUUCAGUAAUAAUAAUUCAUCAAGUUAUUAUGAAUAAGUCCCUGUCCUUUGUACACACCGCCCGUCGCCAUUUCAGAUGAUGUUGAGCGUGAAAUGCCUUGGCAUUGAAUGUUUGACAUUANAUGCAGUGU
rnacentral:rRNA from 1 species